rnacentral:rRNA from 1 species
UACGUAGGGGGCUAGCGUUGUCCGGAUUUAUUGGGCGUAAAGAGCGUGUAGGCGGCCAGGUAGGUCUGCUGUGAAAACUCGAGGCUCAACCUCGAGACGCCGGUGGAAACCAUCAGGCUAGAGUCCGGAAGAGGAGAGUGGAAUUCCUGGUGUAGCGGUGAAAUGCGCAGAUAUCGGGAAGAACACCCGUGGCGAAGGCGGCACUCUGGGACGGUACUGACGCUGAGACGCGAAAGCGUGGGGAGCGAACAGG